CUCGAGACUCGAGUCACACUUAGGUGUCCUGUUGCCUGGGCGUGCUCGAGGCCCCAAAGAGUAACUGCUGACCUGACUUACUCACCGGCGGUGGCCCUCGUGGCACGGUCAGUCACCAGGUUAGUGCCGUGG